UACAGAGGGUGCAAGCGUUAAUCGGGAUUACUGGGCGUAAAGCGUGCGUAGACGGUAGCAUAAGUCUGAUGUGAAAGCCCUGGGCUCAACCUGGGAAUUGCAUUGGAUACUGGCAGGCUAGAGUGCGGUAGAGGGUAGUGGAAUUCCCGGUGUAGCAGUGAAAUGCGUAGAGAUCGGGAGGAACACCAGUGGCGAAGGCGACUACCUGGACCAGCACUGACGCUGAGGCGCGAAAGCUAGGGGAGCAAACAGG
rnacentral:rRNA from 1 species